rnacentral:lncRNA from 1 species
CGGAGUUCAAAUUGAACAUUUCCUAUGACAAAAUCCAAACUCCAUGAACAGCUAUUAACUUUUAGUAGUGCAAAAUCUGAAAAAAUUCAAGAACUUUCACGCCCCAAACCUAGGGAGGUGUGACUAGCACCUGAUGCCGCAGUGGCCCGAGCGAACCACUCUGCAAUAUUUUUUUGUCUUUGUAACUAUCAUGGGCCAACAUGGCCACAACUCGUAAUGUACAACGGUAGGUGGGCAAAUACUGUAUCACUGAACCAUUUUUCGUAAAACAUGGAUACAUAUGGGUCGUCAAGGCCUCUGACAUACUGUACAAAAUGAACCUCUGUCUACAAGCCUCUAAGAUUAUGCGACAUCAAAUAGGACAAGGUACCGGCCUACCCAUAAGUCUGUAGCAAAACUCUGACACGAUGACUCAUAGACUCGGCUGCACUUCGAUCGAGGUGGAGUCUUACCGAUCCUUCACUAAAUGCCAAUCUCGUCUACUAUGAGGGCUCGUCAAACUGAUUAUCUAUACCUGCAGGCAUGAAUGCAGUGUCCCCAAUAAAAGGACGUCAGUACGAAUAAUGUACUGAGUAUGUAAGGCAAAACUGAAACAUAACCAUAAUUCAACAUUAAUUAAAGACAUAUAGGAAUCAACCUGAAUCUCUGAAGUGCCACUACAUAUGCAUACUUAUUCUACUUACAUAUAUAUAUUGCUUUUCUUUAAUACUCUUAUCCAUAUCGUAUGAUGGAUGACUACCUAACUGAUCAGUGAUAACUGCCCGACCGGCCGUAGCGCGGUGGUAAAUGCAUGACUGCCCGACUGACCGUAGCUCGGUGGUAAAUAUAUAACUGCCCAACCGGCCGUAGCUCGGUGGUAAAUGAAUAUGCAUGACUGCCCAACCGGCGGCAAAUAAUGAUACAUAACUGCCCAACCGGUGGUAACUGCCGAUCAGCCGUAGUCCGGUGGUAAAUGCAUGAAGAUGCAUGUAUUACUAUAUUAUAAACAUUAACGUCUUUAUCAAAUACUACUAGAUACAUACUUAGACAUGCUUGAAUAUCACUUUACGGGAAUGAAUAACAUAGACAUCCUUAAUUGAUAAGAGUGGAACAACUUAUGGAAUAUCAUUAUGUUUACGUAUCGUUACUUGUAUCAUGCCAAAAGAAAGAAGGAUUAGCCUUAACAUACCUGGAGUAGAGAAAAUACGUAUGAUAUUUUUGGGAAGGAUUGCACUGUACUUCCUUAAAAUACUUAAACAUCAAUCCUUUCAAAGAACUCCGAUAUAGCAGCCUCUUUAGCCUUCACAACGGAGAAAAUGGGGAAAUUCAUUCUUCAGAGUAGUGUGACCGUAUAUAUACUACUUUUCAAACCAAAAUCAUAUUCGUUUCUCAUUCAUAUAGAGAACCCAUAAUUAUUUUCCAUGAUAUCCUUUGAAAACCCAAUGAAUAUGUACAAACCCAUCAUUCUCUUUCAUAAACCCAAUGAAAUCCAUCGAAGGCCAAUGCAUCGAAUGAUAAAAAAACCAUCUGUCUAGUAAUAGGAAGAAUUUUCCCAUUCUUCGUUGUCCCUCCCUCAAUCAGCUUCUGCUUUCUAAGUAACAAUGCAUCUCUUAAAAUGUGGCUCUUCC